UACGUAGGGUGCGAGCGUUGUCCGGAAUUAUUGGGCGUAAAGAGCUCGUAGGCGGUUUGUCGCGUCUGCCGUGAAAGUCCGGGGCUCAACUCCGGAUCUGCGGUGGGUACGGGCAGACUAGAGUGAUGUAGGGGAGACUGGAAUUCCUGGUGUAGCGGUGAAAUGCGCAGAUAUCAGGAGGAACACCGAUGGCGAAGGCAGGUCUCUGGGCAUUAACUGACGCUGAGGUGCGAGAGCGUGGGGAGCGAACCGG
rnacentral:rRNA from 1 species